UGACCACCUGGACAGUGGGUGGCGAGUGUGACAUUUGAAGGAAGAGGAGAUGAGGAGCCUGGAGAAGAAGAGGCCCAAGUGGCCCUUGCCACGACCACCUGUUGGAGAGCAAAUUGAAGCUCAGAGCGCAACUGCUCUCGCACCACACUGAGGGCAGGAAGAUUUGCAGAGGAGGGUUUUAGUGGGAUCCCAGUCUCUCUGGUCCCACCUCCGGUGGACCAGGAACGUGGCCGCGCCUUCGUUGCUCCUCAAAGACCAUCAGCCAAAAGCUGGAAUGAGGCUUGGAUGCAGGCAGCGAUGCUCUAUUUGUUGAGGAGCCAAUAAAACGCCUUUGACCACGGA